CUGUUCCUAGCAGCUAGGGUCUUCUCCUUGGGCAAGACAGAAUAACCCUUAUCCCUCCCUUGCUAGGGUUAGUUCUAUUCAAGUAUUAAUACAUUCCUGUCUUCCUUUGGUAGAACCUUAUUUCUUAUCACUCCGUUGGGACCCGGAGUAUAAUAGAUCCUUGUUAUCCCAAUAUUGCUAUAAGAAACAAGAAAGGGGACGAGUUGCAUGUUGUAAGUUGCUACCCGUGUCAGUGAAGAAAGAGACCCUGAUCCAAAAGAAAAAGGCUUUGUUGCGGCUUCCAUUAUUUAAACGCGGUACUUUAGCUCCUACAUCACCUAUACAGAAGGUUGGUAUGGCUUGAUCCAAUCACUCGGCUGGUCAAAGCAUGCCAUGGGAAUACUCUGAGAUAACUGAAUAUCUAGCAGGUUACUGUGAGAAAGCAGGACCUGCUAGUUAAAGCCCUAAAAAUGGAGACACAAAUAACUAUUUCCACUAGUUACAAUGAGCAAGGGUGUAUCCAGAUACUCAUGUUAGUUUAUGUACAUUUAAAGGAAUGUUCUUUGCUAGAUUUUUAACCCCUUCGUAUUUUAUUUUGUCUGUAUAUGGGAGAAAAAAGUGAAGGGGAUUAAAAAAAAAACAAAAUUGAAAUACCAAGUCAUAGAUCUUCUGUAAGCUUUUGAAUUUAAAGUUCUUAAAUUAUUUUCUCUUUAGUCUAUUAGAUUUAUAACUUCUAUUAAUAGCAAUUCUGUUAUUAAAAAGUCACAAACUAGCUGCCAACAAUGGUAUAAUUUUUGCUUACUGUAUUCUUGUGUUUGUUCUGUCAUGCAUUGUAUGAAAAAUAAAGUUAUAAGCAGUGUAGAAUUGUCAGAUUGAAGGGCAUAUAACAGAUCCAUUUGUACAAACAGAAGUCUAGUACUAAAGUGCUAAGAGGGCAUGCAUUAUACUUUUUUCUUUAUUUGUAAUCACGAGAAAACAACUCUUAUGUCAAGAUCACGAUAAAAGAAGAAGAAAAAGAUUAUAAUGCAUGACCAUUUAGGACUUCCAUAGUCUAGACGGUUGAACACUAGUGGAAGUGGAAAAGAAACCAGAUUAAAUAAAAUGUAGAAAAUACUCUAAUCAAAGUUAAGUGCAUCAUUGAGUCUGGAAGAAAGUGCAGUUUUGAGUGUUUGUUGAAUGUGUUCUAAUGGAAUUGUAGCCAAUGAACCCAGACACUUCAACACAUUAUGAGGUUAAUAUACAUGUUGCUCACACAUAUAUAUGAGCAAAGGGGUAUCGAGAUCUAGCCAAAGGCCACCAAGCAGGUCUCAGUUGCCCAGUGUGGAUGUAAGACAGAGCCUCAACUGGACCAGACAGCAAGUUGUGUCAGAAAAGAGGAGGGAGAAAAAACAAGGGAGCACCGAGAGCCAAGUCUGUGGAGCAAAGUCAUCAGGUGUCACACCAGAAAGCUAGCAUCUGUUUUUUUCCAAUACUAGCCUAAGCGCCAAAAAGCAGCUGACGCUAGUGAAGAAAGGCUAGCGAGUACCCGGACCCAAGAAGCAUGACAGCCAAUGCUAGCCAGCAAAGGAAGGGAAAUUGAAACUGAAGUGGCUGCUCAACAAAUCUUGUAUGACACGUUUUCAGCGAAAGGUCUGGAUGGGUAAGAUUAAUUCCUCAAAAUAUGUGUGGACAAUUUUGCAGUAUCCUCCCACAGUCUCAGACAGACCCUACUGAAGUUUCUAGACUUGUGGUACUUUAUAGCUGAAUCUGUUGAUGCAUUAUUUUUUUCUCUUUUUACAAAGGUUUUUUUUUCUCACCUUUAUUA